GUCUACGGCCAUGCCACCCUGAACACAUGCGAUCUUGUCUAAUCUCGGAAGCUAAGCAGGGUCGGGCCUGGUUAGUACUUGGAUGGGAGACCACCUAGGAAGACCAGGUGCUGUAGGCA
rnacentral:rRNA from 1 species